AGAGUUUGAUCAUGGCUCAGAUUGAACGCUGGCGGCAGGCCUAACACAUGCAAGUCGAACGGUAACAGGAAACAGCUUGCUGUUUCGCUGACGAGUGGCGGACGGGUGAGUAAUGUCUGGGAAACUGCCUGAUGGAGGGGGAUAACUACUGGAAACGGUAGCUAAUACCGCAUAACGUCGCAAGACCAAAGAGGGGGACCUUCGGGCCUCUUGCCAUCAGAUGUGCCAGAUGGGAUUAGCUAGUAGGUGGGGUAACGGCUCACCUAGGCGACGAUCCCUAGCUGGUCUGAGAGGAUGACCAGCCACACUGGAACUGAGACACGGUCCAGACUCCUACGGGAGGCAGCAGUGGGGAAUAUUGCACAAUGGGCGCAAGCCUGAUGCAGCCAUGCCGCGUGUAUGAAGAAGGCCUUCGGGUUGUAAAGUACUUUCAGCGGGGAGGAAGGGAGUAAAGUUAAUACCUUUGCUCAUUGACGUUACCCGCAGAAGAAGCACCGGCUAACUCCGUGCCAGCAGCCGCGGUAAUACGGAGGGUGCAAGCGUUAAUCGGAAUUACUGGGCGUAAAGCGCACGCAGGCGGUUUGUUAAGUCAGAUGUGAAAUCCCCGGGCUCAACCUGGGAACUGCAUCUGAUACUGGCAAGCUUGAGUCUCGUAGAGGGGGGUAGAAUUCCAGGUGUAGCGGUGAAAUGCGUAGAGAUCUGGAGGAAUACCGGUGGCGAAGGCGGCCCCCUGGACGAAGACUGACGCUCAGGUGCGAAAGCGUGGGGAGCAAACAGGAUUAGAUACCCUGGUAGUCCACGCCGUAAACGAUGUCGACUUGGAGGUUGUGCCCUUGAGGCGUGGCUUCCGGAGCUAACGCGUUAAGUCGACCGCCUGGGGAGUACGGCCGCAAGGUUAAAACUCAAAUGAAUUGACGGGGGCCCGCACAAGCGGUGGAGCAUGUGGUUUAAUUCGAUGCAACGCGAAGAACCUUACCUGGUCUUGACAUCCACGGAAGUUUUCAGAGAUGAGAAUGUGCCUUCGGGAACCGUGAGACAGGUGCUGCAUGGCUGUCGUCAGCUCGUGUUGUGAAAUGUUGGGUUAAGUCCCGCAACGAGCGCAACCCUUAUCCUUUGUUGCCAGCGGUCCGGCCGGGAACUCAAAGGAGACUGCCAGUGAUAAACUGGAGGAAGGUGGGGAUGACGUCAAGUCAUCAUGGCCCUUACGACCAGGGCUACACACGUGCUACAAUGGCGCAUACAAAGAGAAGCGACCUCGCGAGAGCAAGCGGACCUCAUAAAGUGCGUCGUAGUCCGGAUUGGAGUCUGCAACUCGACUCCAUGAAGUCGGAAUCGCUAGUAAUCGUGGAUCAGAAUGCCACGGUGAAUACGUUCCCGGGCCUUGUACACACCGCCCGUCACACCAUGGGAGUGGGUUGCAAAAGAAGUAGGUAGCUUAACCUUCGGGAGGGCGCUUACCACUUUGUGAUUCAUGACUGGGGUGAAGUCGUAACAAGGUAACCGUAGGGGAACCUGCGGUUG
rnacentral:rRNA from 1 species